rnacentral:rRNA from 1 species
AGAGUUUGAUCCUGGCUCAGGAUGAACGCUGGCGGCGUGCCUAAUACAUGCAAGUCGAGCGAACGGACGAGAAGCUUGCUUCUCUGAUGUUAGCGGCGGACGGGUGAGUAACACGUGGAUAACCUACCUAUAAGACUGGGAUAACUUCGGGAAACCGGAGCUAAUACCGGAUAAUAUUUUGAACUGCAUGGUUCAAAAGUGAAAGACGGUCUUGCUGUCACUUAUAGAUGGAUCCGCGCUGCAUUAGCUAGUUGGUAAGGUAACGGCUUACCAAGGCAACGAUGCAUAGCCGACCUGAGAGGGUGAUCGGCCACACUGGAACUGAGACACGGUCCAGACUCCUACGGGAGGCAGCAGUAGGGAAUCUUCCGCAAUGGGCGAAAGCCUGACGGAGCAACGCCGCGUGAGUGAUGAAGGUCUUCGGAUCGUAAAACUCUGUUAUUAGGGAAGAACAUAUGUGUAAGUAACUGUGCACAUCUUGACGGUACCUAAUCAGAAAGCCACGGCUAACUACGUGCCAGCAGCCGCGGUAAUACGUAGGUGGCAAGCGUUAUCCGGAAUUAUUGGGCGUAAAGCGCGCGUAGGCGGUUUUUUAAGUCUGAUGUGAAAGCCCACGGCUCAACCGUGGAGGGUCAUUGGAAACUGGAAAACUUGAGUGCAGAAGAGGAAAGUGGAAUUCCAUGUGUAGCGGUGAAAUGCGCAGAGAUAUGGAGGAACACCAGUGGCGAAGGCGACUUUCUGGUCUGUAACUGACGCUGAUGUGCGAAAGCGUGGGGAUCAAACAGGAUUAGAUACCCUGGUAGUCCACGCCGUAAACGAUGAGUGCUAAGUGUUAGGGGGUUUCCGCCCCUUAGUGCUGCAGCUAACGCAUUAAGCACUCCGCCUGGGGAGUACGACCGCAAGGUUGAAACUCAAAGGAAUUGACGGGGACCCGCACAAGCGGUGGAGCAUGUGGUUUAAUUCGAAGCAACGCGAAGAACCUUACCAAAUCUUGACAUCCUUUGACAACUCUAGAGAUAGAGCCUUCCCCUUCGGGGGACAAAGUGACAGGUGGUGCAUGGUUGUCGUCAGCUCGUGUCGUGAGAUGUUGGGUUAAGUCCCGCAACGAGCGCAACCCUUAAGCUUAGUUGCCAUCAUUAAGUUGGGCACUCUAAGUUGACUGCCGGUGACAAACCGGAGGAAGGUGGGGAUGACGU